CCCCUCCAACCUCCGGCCCCUCGCACGUCCCUGUAAGGGGAUGAACAAAAAAGAAACAUUUCUCAGAAUACACUUUUUCAUGAGACAUUAGGAAUACGAAUAUUACUACAGAUCUCUGAUCAGCUUCAGACUUCAUCUCUUACCAUACCAAGAACAGAGACUUUCAGGUCUCCUUGUUGAUGAUUUCACGAUGUCAGCACUUUUGAUGUACCUGAAGCAGCCAAGCUGCAUCUACUGUGCAUAUAUAUGGUUGGCAACCCUAGCUGUGGUGAAUGCACAGGAAGUGUUACAUCCCAAACCUGAUGAGGUUCAGAUUUUAAAUGAAGACAGCGGAGGACUUCACUUCUUAGCAGACCAAGGAAACACAAACUAUCCAGGUAAGGUUGAAAUGUUAUUAA